rnacentral:rRNA from 1 species
GACGAACGCUGGCGGCGUGCCUAAUACAUGCAAGUCGAACGGGGUUGCGAAAGGGAGAGUAACGAGUAGGUAACUACCUGUUAAAGGGUGAUAACUAUUGGAAACGAUAGCUAAUACCGCAUACUAGUAGAUUGAGCUGCGUUGUAUUAGCUAGUAGGUAGGGUAAUGGCCUACCUAGGCAACGAUACAUAGCCGACCUGGGAGGGUGGUCGGCCACACUGGGACUGGGACACGGGCCAGACUCCUACGGGAGGCAGCAAUAGGGAAUCUUCGGCAAUGGGGGGAAAGCUGACCGCGCAACUCCCGGGGAGUGAAGAAGGUUUUCGGAUCGGAAAGCUCUGUUGUUAAGGGAGCGGUACUUAACCAGAAAGGGACGGCUAACUACGUGCCAGCAGCCGCGGUAAUAC